rnacentral:rRNA from 1 species
GACGAACGCUGGCGGCGUGCCUAAUACAUGCAAGUUGAGCGCUGAAGGUUGGUACUUGUACCAACUGGAUGAGCAGCGAACGGGUGAGUAACGCGUGGGGAAUCUGCCUUUGAGCGGGGGACAAAAUUUGGAAACGAAUGCUAAUACCGCAUAAAAACUUUAAACACAAGUUUUAAGUUUGAAAGAUGCAAUUGCAUCACUCAAAGAUGAUCCCGCGUUGUAUUAGCUAGUUGGUGAGGUAAAGGCGCACCAAGGCGAUGAUACAUAGCCGACCUGAGAGGGUGAUCGGCCACAUUGGGACUGAGACACGGCCCAAACUCCUACGGGAGGCAGCAGUAGGGAAUCUUCGGCAAUGGACGAAAGUCUGACCGAGCAACGCCGCGUGAGUGAAGAAGGUUUUCGGAUCGUAAAACUCUGUUGGUAGAGAAGAACGUUGGUGAGAGUGGAAAGCUCAUCAAGUGACGGUAACUACCCAGAAAGGGACGGCUAACUACGUG